AUGGCUCAUGUAAACUUUGGUGUCAUUACCCUGAUCCCCAAAAUAGUUGGAGCGACAGACAUUCUACACUUUAGGCCUAUCAUGGUCAUCAAUGUACUCGAGCGCAUCUUCUCAAAAGUUUGUGUGACCCGGCUUGCCCCUAUAGCGGGGCGGCUGGACCACCCUCUCCAGACAGCCUUCUUGAAGGGCCGGCGGAUUCAUGACGGAAUCUUGGCCCUUCAUGAGAUCGUACAUGAGGUCCGGUCGCGUGGUCACAAAGGUGUCUUUCUCAAGUUGGAUUUCCAGAAAGCAUACGACCGUCUGGAUUGAUCCUUCUUGCGGCUAGUCAUG
rnacentral:rRNA from 1 species